rnacentral:lncRNA from 1 species
GGGUUAUCAUAGCUGCUCUUGCAGAAAACAAAUCUCCAUUGGGCUUAUAACAUGAUGCAUUUAAGUCUUAAUUGGGAAAGUACAUACACACAUUUCAUUUAUGCAGUUAUAUGUAAGAUAAAUCUGUGUGCAUAACUGAACCUGCAUAGACCCUUUCUGGAAAGGCAUAUAACUUGAAAUGGCAGUGACCUGUGGGGGAAGGUCUCAGGAGCUGUGGUAAGAGGAUGUGUUUGUUGCCGUGUAUUGUUUGCCUCUCACAGUGCCUGUCCAAUGGAAAGACAUUUGCAUCUUCAUGGUUCUACGUCAUUUUGAGUUGAUUAUGUUAACUGGAUGAAAAUAUUUGUGUAGCAUCAGUUUGUUCUAGCUGUUAUGACCUAAUCUGCCAAUGACAUAUGUAUUGUGUCUUACAGAGUUACAUCUGUUUGGGAGAACAGUCUUCAGAUUACUACAGUUUCUAGUUUCAUAGGAGCAUGGCUUGGAGCAUUUCCUAUUCCACUGGAUUGGGAAAGACCAUGGCAGGUGUGGCCCAUCUCCUGUACAUUCGGAGCGACCUUUGGCUACGUGGCUGGCCUGGUUAUCUCGCCACUCUGGAUAUACUGGAAUAGAAAGCAACUUACAUACAAGAACAAUUAAGAGGAGAAGGGAGAGAAGUGAUUUCUUUGUGCAGAGUCCAUAAGGGCUGUGCAGAAGUGUACAUGGUCAAAGCCGAGCCGUCCAUUGACAGCACUGUGGUUUUCUAAAUGUCAUUUCAACAUGAUGUGAUUGUAGCUUUUUAACUAUGAAACCCCUGAGAGAUUGUACCUUCUAGUUGAAAUAAAGUAUUUAUAGU